rnacentral:rRNA from 1 species
UUCCGUUGAUCUGCCGGACCCUACUGCUAUCGGGGGUGGGACUAAGACAUGCGAGUCGAGCGUCUCUAGCUAUGUUGAGACGCGGCAGACGGCUCAGUAACACGUGGCUAACCUACCCUCAGGACAAGUACAAACCCGGGAAACUGGGGCUAAUACUAGAUAGGCGAAGGCGCCUGGAAUGGUUCUUCACCCAAAGGGCUUUAGAAACAUGCUUCUAGAGUCGCCUGGGGAUGGGGCCGCGUCCGAUCAGGUUGUUGGUGAGGUAACGGCUCACCAAGCCUAUAACCGGUACGGGCCGUGAGAGCGGUAGCCCGGAGAUGGGUACUGAGACAAGGACCCAGGCCCUACGGGGCGCAGCAGUCGCGAAAACUCCGCAAUGCACGAAAGUGUGACGGGGCUACCCCGAGUGCCGUCCGCUGAGGAUGGCUUUUCCUUGGUGUAACUAGCCGGGGGAAUAAGGAGAGGGCAAGACUGGUGUCAGCCGCCGCGGUAAUACCAGCUCUCCGAGUGGUAGGGAUGAUUAUUGGGCUUAAAGCGUCCGUAGCCGGCUUAGUAAGUCCCCUGUUAAAUUCAGCGACCUAAUCGUUGAGCCGCGGGAGAUACUGCUAGGCUAGGAGGCGGGAGAGGUCGACGGUACUUCCGGGGUAGGGGUGAAAUCCUAUAAUCCCGGGAGGACCACCAGUGGCGAAGGCUGUCGACUAGAACGCGCUCGACGGUGAGGGACGAAAGCUGGGGGAGCGAACCGGAUUAGAUACCCGGGUAGUCCCAGCCGUAAACGAUGCGGGCUAGGUGUUGGGGUGGCUACGUGCCACUUCAGUGCCGCAGGGAAGCCAUUAAGCCCGCCGCCUGGGGAGUACGGCCGCAAGGCUGAAACUUAAAGGAAUUGGCGGGGGAGCACCACAAGGCGUGAAGCUUGCGGUUCAAUUGGACUCAACGCCGGU